UCAACGUGCCGGCUGCUGGAAAAGUGUGUCACUGGGGCACGAGGCGCUCCCUGGAAUCACAUGGUACCUGCUCCAGUGCCGCGUGCGGCCCGGGAACCCUGGGCUGCUGGCGCCUGCGCAGAGCCCUCUGUCCCAGGGAAAGGCUCGGGCAAAAGGCGGUUGAGAUUGGCAGAGUGAAAUAUUACUGCUGAGGAAACGUAGCAGGGCACACGUCUCUCUUUGCGUCCUGGUGCCUCAUUUCUCCAUCACCUACUUACUUCCUGGUUGCAGCUUCUCUUCCUUUGGGACUUUUGCACCCGGAGCUCCAGAUUCAUUACCCUGCUUCACUGCGGAGCCUUCAGGAGUGGCAUCCGGUGCACUGCAGAGACCCGACUCUCCUUGCUACCUUAUAGCCAGAACUGCUGCAGGCUGAUUCUUCACACACACACUCUCUGCUCUUCCCAUGCAAAUCAGAUCUCAGGUGCCUCAGCGUCCUACCCUUCUGGAGGGCUGCAGUAUAGCCACCCCAAGACCUUACUGCUCAGUGCCUGGAAUCCUGAUUGCGAACUGCGGGGCUCACUCGUCUCCCUCAGCCAUUGCCCAGGGGGCGAGAGAGGCCAUCACAACCUCCAGUUUGUGUCAAGGUCCAGUUUGAAUGACCGCUUUCAGCUGGUGAAGACAUGACGACCCUGGACUCCAAUAACAACACAGGUGGUGUUAUCACCUACAUUGGCUCUAGUGGCUCCUCCCCGAGCCGGACCAGCCCGGAGUCCCUCUACAGUGACAGCUCCAAUGGCAGCUUCCAGUCCCUGACUCAAGGUUGUCCCACAUACUUCCCACCAUCACCUACUGGCUCCCUCACCCAGGACCCUGCCCGCUCUUUUGGCAGUGCGCCACCCAGUCUCAGUGAUGAUAGCUCCCCUUCUUCUGCAUCAUCGUCAUCCUCUUCAUCCUCCUCCUCCUUCUAUAACGGGAGCCCCCCAGGAAGUCUACAAGUGGCCAUGGAAGACAGCAGCCGAGUGUCCCCCAGCAAGGGCACAAGCAACAUUACCAAGCUGAAUGGCAUGGUGCUACUGUGUAAGGUGUGUGGGGACGUGGCCUCAGGCUUCCACUAUGGAGUGCACGCCUGUGAGGGCUGCAAGGGCUUUUUUCGCCGGAGCAUCCAACAGAAUAUCCAGUACAAACGGUGUCUGAAAAACGAAAACUGCUCCAUCGUUCGCAUCAAUCGCAACCGCUGCCAGCAGUGUCGCUUCAAGAAGUGUCUCUCCGUUGGCAUGUCUAGAGAUGCUGUGCGUUUUGGGCGCAUCCCCAAGAGAGAGAAGCAACGGAUGCUUGCCGAGAUGCAGAGCGCCAUGAACUUGGCCAACAACCAACUGAGCAGCCUGUGCCCUCUAGAGACCUCACCUACUCCACAUCCCACCUCUGGCUCCAUGGGCCCCUCACCUCCUCCUGCACCAGCCCCCACACCUUUGGUGGGCUUCUCUCAGUUCCCACAACAGCUGACACCACCCAGGUCUCCCAGCCCUGAGCCCACCAUGGAGGAUGUGAUAUCCCAGGUCGCCCGGGCCCAUCGAGAAAUCUUCACCUAUGCCCAUGACAAGUUAGGCACCUCACCUGGUAACUUCAAUGCCAAUCAUGCAUCAGGUAGCCCUUCAGCUACAACUCCACACCGCUGGGAGAGUCAGGGAUGCCCGUCUGCCCCCAACGACAACAACCUUUUGGCGGCUCAGCGUCAUAAUGAAGCGCUGAAUGGUCUACGCCAGGGCCCUUCCUCCUACCCGCCUACCUGGCCUUCUGGCCCCACCCACCACAGCUGCCACCAACCUAACAGCAAUGGGCACCGUCUGUGCCCCACCCACGUAUAUUCGGCCCCAGAAGGGGAGGCACCUGCCAACAGUCUACGGCAAGGCAACACCAAGAAUGUUCUGCUGGUGAGGGCAUGGAGCCAGUGUGGAGAGAGCGAGGGGGCCUUGGAAGAUUGGGACUAGAGAAAGACAGCCAGUGUUCCUAGAGGCUGGGGGUGGGGACUUCUGUCCAGGAAAGGACAUUCUACCCCAAAAUCUGGGUUUUACCUGGGAAUCCUUAAUCACCAUUCGGCACCUGAUUACCGAUUUAGGCAUGUCCCAUGAACAUGUAUCCCCAUGGACGCAGCGGCCGGACUGUGCAGGAGAUCUGGGAAGACUUCUCUAUGAGCUUCACGCCUGCCGUUCGGGAGGUGGUAGAGUUUGCCAAACACAUCCCAGGCUUCCGUGACCUUUCUCAGCACGACCAGGUGACCCUGCUUAAGGCUGGCACCUUUGAGGUGCUGAUGGUGCGCUUUGCAUCGUUGUUCAACGUGAAGGACCAGACAGUGAUGUUCCUGAGCCGCACAACCUACAGUCUGCAGGAGCUCGGUGCCAUGGGCAUGGGCGACCUGCUCAAUGCCAUGUUUGACUUCAGCGAGAAGCUCAACUCCCUGGCACUUACCGAGGAGGAGCUGGGCCUAUUCACCGCGGUGGUGCUUGUCUCUGCAGACCGCUCGGGAAUGGAGAAUUCCGCUUCGGUGGAGCAGCUCCAGGAGACGCUGCUGCGGGCUCUUCGGGCUCUGGUGCUGAAGAACCGGCCCUCGGAGACUUCCCGCUUCACCAAGCUGCUGCUCAAGCUGCCGGACCUGCGGACCCUGAACAACAUGCAUUCCGAGAAGCUGCUGUCCUUCCGGGUGGACGCCCAGUGACCCGCCCGGCCGGCCUUCUGCCGCUGCCCCCUUGUACAGAAUCGAACUCUGCACUUCUCUCUCCUUUACGAGACGAAAAGGAAAAGCAAACCAGAAUCUUAUUUAUAUUGUUAUAAAAUAUUCCAAGAUGAGCCUCUGGCCCCCUGAGCCUUCUUGUAAAUAACUCUUCCCCCACCCCCACCGCCAUGCUCCCAUCCUCCCCUAUUUAAACCACUCUUGCUCUCUCCACCCUCCUCUGGCCCCUCGAUUUGUUCUGUUCCUGUCUCAAAUCCAAUAGUUCACAGCUGA